AAAUUGAAGAGUUUGAUCAUGGCUCAGAUUGAACGCUGGCGGCAGGCCUAACACAUGCAAGUCGAACGGUAACAGGAAUCAGCUUGCUGAUUCGCUGACGAGUGGCGGACGGGUGAGUAAUGUCUGGGAAACUGCCUGAUGGAGGGGGAUAACUACUGGAAACGGUAGCUAAUACCGCAUAACGUCGCAAGACCAAAGAGGGGGACCUUCGGGCCUCUUGCCAUCGGAUGUGCCCAGAUGGGAUUAGCUAGUAGGUGGGGUAACGGCUCACCUAGGCGACGAUCCCUAGCUGGUCUGAGAGGAUGACCAG
rnacentral:rRNA from 1 species